CCUACGGGUGGCAGCAGUGAGGAAUAUUGGUCAAUGGCCGUAAGGCUGAACCAGCCAAGUAGCGUGAGGGAAGACUGCCCUAUGGGUUGUAAACCUCUUUUAUGCGGGGACAAAGGUGUCCACGUGUGGAUGUUUGCAGGUACCCCAUGAAUAAGGACCGGCUAAUCCCGUGCCAGCAGCCGGGGUGAUACGGGAGGUCCGGGCGUUAUCCGGAUUUAUUGGGUUUAAAGGGAGCGUAGGCCGGUCUUUAAGCGUGCCGUGAAAUUUUGGGGCAUAAACAUGGGAGUGCGGUGCGAACUGGAGGCCUUGAGUGGGCGGAAGGUAGGCGGAAUGCGUGGUGUAGCGGUGAAAUGCUUAGAUAUCACGAAGAACCCCGAUUGCGAAGGCAGCAUACCGGAGCGUUACUGACGCUGAAGCACGAAAGCGCGGGUAUCGAACAGGAUUAGAUACCCGGGUAGUC
rnacentral:rRNA from 1 species